CCUACGGGGGGCAGCAGUAGGGAAUCUUCCGCAAUGGGCGAAAGCCUGAUGGAGCAACGCCGCGUGGGUGAAGAAGGUCUUCGGAUCGUAAAACCCUGUUGUUAGAGAAGAAAGUGCGUGAGAGUAACUGUUCACAUUUCGACGGUAUCUAACCAGAAAGCCACGGCUAACUACGUGCCAGCAGCCGCGGUAAUACGUAGGUGGCAAGCGUUAUCCGGAAUUAUUGGGCGUAAAGGGCACGCAGGCGGUCUUUUAAGUCUGAUGUGAAAGCCUUCGGCUUAACCGGAGUGGGUCAUUGGAAACUGGGAGACUUGAGUGCAGAAGAGGAGAGUGGAAUUCCAUGUGUAGCGGUGAAAUGCGCAGAGAUAUGGAAGAACACCAGUGGCGAAAGCGGCUCUCUGGUCUGUAACUGACGCUGAGGUGCGAAAGCGUGGGGAGCAAACAGGAUUAGAUACCCGGGUAGUC
rnacentral:rRNA from 1 species